CUACGGUUGGCUCCUGUGGAGAGAAUGCCUGACUACCUCAGAUCAAAGACUUUCGCCCUUGCCUUUGAAGUACCUUUUCCUCAGGUACCCAAAUAAUCUCCAGUCCGAGAGCACCCAACAAGUGAGGGUCCACCAGCAGGCUGGACGACACUACAUACAAGGACUAUGUAAAACAAACAUGUGGACUCUUAAAAAGACAUUUUACUGCCCUCCAUAUCAAAAUGUUAACAUCAAAAACUAUCCUGGGAAAAUGAGGCA